CAGUGGAACACGUGGUUCAAUUCGAUACGAACCGAAAAACCUCACCAGGGUUUGACAUACUAUCGUUUAUUCUUCUAGAAAUAGAGGGAAAUCCGCAAGGAUGAUAGUACAGGUGCUGCAUGGCUGUCGUCAGCUCGUUCCGUGAGGAGUGCCCUUAAGUGGGACAACGAGCGCAACCCCUAUCUUGUGUUAAAUCUGUCACAAGAAACGGUCCUGCCUUUGGCGGGAAGGAAGGAGGGGCAGACGUCAAGUCAGCAUGGUCCUUAUACCCUGGGCCACACACAUGUUACAAUGGGAUGAGCAACGGGCUUUGCCAAGCGGUAACGUUUUAGCAAAUCCCUUAAACCAUCCCUCAGUGGGGAUUGAGGUCUGCAACUCGACCUCAUGAACGCGGAAUUGGUAGUAAUCGCGGAUCAGUCACGCCGCGGUGAAUACGUUCUUGCCUCUUGCACACACCGCCCGUAAGGGC
rnacentral:rRNA from 1 species